GGCGGCUGCAGAGGAUGCUUCAGCAAGGCAGGGUAGAAAAGCGUUCCUGCCGUCCCUCGGCACGUGUCUCGGCUGAGGUUGUAUUUGCCAAAACCAGAGUUGAGGAGCAUUUGGCUGGACACCGCGGUCCAGCGGUCAUAGUCUUGUGGCGGCUGAGCGAAACCCGCUUGUGGUGCCCUGGUGCGAAGCAGGACCUGGUUUUCCCAGCUGAGUGGCCCACGGAGCAGGCAGCCCAGCGUGAUCUUGGUGCCUUUGGUGGGCGAGAGAUGUGCCUGCAGUGGGCAGGGGGAGCACUGGGACAGGAGCUGCCAGGGAACAUUGCGGGGCCACACUGGCAUGGAGGGGCCGUGCCCGGGCAGGUGGGGGCUUAAAAGGGAGUCGGGGUCCCCGGCAUCACCCAGUCGGUGUGGGGAUGCGGAGCUGGUGGGAUCGUGCCAUGGCCUGAGCCCCUCUCCUCUUUACGCUGCUCGCCCACGGCUCAGGUUCCGUGGUCCGGGCAGCGCUGACUCAGCCACCCUCGGUGUCAGCGAACGUGGGACAAACCGUCCAGAUCACCUGCUCCGGGAGUAGCAGCAGCAGCGAUGGUGUUGGCUGGUACCAGCAGAAGGUUCCUGGCAGUGCCCCUGUCACUGUCAUCUAUAGCA